UACAGAGGGGGCUAGCGUUGUUCGGAAUUACUGGGCGUAAAGGGCGUGUAGGCGGCUUCGCAGGUCGGUGGUGAAAGCAUACAGCUCAACUGUAUUGAGCCACGGAAACGGCGGAGCUUGAGGCUGGGAGGGGCUGGUGGAAUUCCCUGUGUAGCGGUGAAAUGCGUAGAGAUGGGGGAGAACACUCGUGGCGAAGGCGGCCAGCUGGACCAGUUCUGACGCUGAGACGCGAAAGCGUGGGGAGCAAACAGG
rnacentral:rRNA from 1 species